UCAAACUUGGUCAUUUAGAGGAAGUAAAAGUCGUAACAAGGUCUCCGUUGGUGAACCAGCGGAGGGAUCAUUACCGAGUUUGCGAACUCCCAAAACCCCCUGUGAACGUACCUACACCCGUUGCUUCGGCGGUGCCGCCCCGGGCGCGGGCCUCCCCCCUCGGAGGCCGCCAGCCCCGGAACCAGGCGCCCGCCGGAGGACCCCAAAACCCUCACGCAUUAUCCAGCGUCCUCUGAGCCCCUCGCGCCCUCCGGGCGGGAAGGGGGAAAACGAAAAAUGAAUCAAAACUUUCAACAACGGAUCUCUUGGCUCUGGCAUCGAUGAAGAACGCAGC
rnacentral:misc_RNA from 1 species